GUGGCUAUAGUUUAGUGGUAAAACACGAGUUUGUGGCACUUGGGUCGAGAGUUCGAUUCUCUCUAGCCACCCCC
rnacentral:tRNA from 1 species